CUUCUCCGACAUCUUCUUCUCCUUCUCUGGCCAGAUCCCAACUUGAUGCCUCCCCGAAAGGCAUCCACCAGGCGAUCUAUGGCCUCUAUGGCUAGAUCUCAGCAAGAUCCGCCAGCUCCAGCCUCAUCUCUAAUUUUUCAAGCUCCUCCUCCGGCAACGACAGUCGGCAUGGAGUAGUUUGACCUGCUAGUUCAACAGGUCAGGGGCCUCACUGAAGCAGUGCAGGCCAUGCAGCAGCAGUAGCCGCAGGCAUCGGUGUGGCUGGAAAGAGCAUCAUCGGAGUUCCAGAAUUUGACGAUCAGGCGGCCCACUUUGGCCAGUCACCCUGUAUCCCCCGAAAAGGAGAAGCAGAAGGUGGAGAGCCCUCUGUCUGAUCAUGAUUUCACCCCCGGAGGGUCCCUACCUUCGUUCUGCCAGAAGACCCUCGAGAUGCACGAUCGAGAGGAUCUCCUGGAUCGAAGGUUUCGAGAGAUGAACUGACAGAUCGAAGAGCUCCACCAUGCUCUCCCUGCUUACAGUGAGGAUAUCUAUACUAACCCUCCUUUUUCUCAAAAAAUUAUGCAGGAACCGAUCCCAUCGAACUUCAAGCUCCUCCAAUUUGAAAACUACGAGGGGACCUCAGAUCCGGUUGAUCACCUGGAGGCCUUCUGGAUAAUGAUGUUCGUCAUCCAUCUUCUUUGAUUUUUUCGUUAGGUGACGAACUUUUCUUCUCAGAUCUCGGAUCAUAGAUUUCAGAGGAAUCCCCUGC
rnacentral:lncRNA from 1 species